ensembl:lncRNA
CGGUUGAGUUGCAGGCUGCAGGCCACAGUGGGGUUCUGGUUCCUUUCCAGUGUGACUUAAACAGCGAGGAGGAGAUUCUGUCCAUGUUUGCUGCCAUCAAGGAGCAGCACCGAGGGGUCGACGUGUGCAUCAACAACGCCGGCUUGGCUCAUCCAGAGUCUCUGUUAAAGCGGCUGGAAGAACAUGCUAGAUAGAUCUGCCAGGGAGGCUCCUGCUCAGCUUCCAGGCCGGAGGAAAGCGAGCUGGGGGACCGCCAAGCACAACCACCCGCCAUCUUUAUGAUGCUAAUGAACAGCCAUUAACACAGUGCACAACAGUUGUACACAA